UGAAUCGAUGUAUGGAUGAUUCUUAUACAUGAAAUGGCAAAGAUACUAAUUAGGACUAUCUCAAUAAACAAUAUAAGUCCUGAAUAGUGAAUCCAUGGACAAUGGAACGAUUGAAGAAGUAAUCUAAUGAUGUUAGACUACAGAGACCUUCUUCACAUAACCAUUAUGUCCAAAAGGUUCCUGGUCGUUGGAUUGUCGGAGGGAUACUAACAAUGCUUAGACCGGUACAUACUGUGUCCGCUUCAAUUGGAAGGAUGGAAAGUCUCAACCCAUUCGUGUUGUGACACUAAGACAAGUAUGUAGGUGCUCAUUAAGGGAAUGAGUUCACUGAACACAAUCGAACGGGAGUACUUGCAUGGAGGUCUACUCACAUGUCAAGCAAGUAACUCUAAUGGUUGGAAAGAUGUAAAUAAUCCUUAGACCUGAGGCAUCGUCGUUGUCUUGUGGUUAAGUACUUAAUCUUUGAUUAUGUCAAAGUCUCCCCAUUCGAGGGUGUCCACGGCAUAAUUGGGGUUAAGCCACUUAGUCAUGAAGGCAAGUGUAUGCGCAACAAGGAAUCUCUAAUCCUCGAUAAGAGAGGAAGAAUACUCUAAGAUAUGAUUCGGGAAUCUUCGGCCGAAGUAUCGAGCGUAAUAAAGGAAAGCGUUCCUAUACGACUCAAUUGAAUCAUAUAAGAAGGAAUAAUCACAUUAGGGGUUUGACAUAAUAUAUCCAUACCCUAAUGAUGUGAUUGAGAGUAUUGUUAUUAGAGAAGGAUUGAAUUACAUUGUAAUUCCAACUGAAUAGGUUCUUCCGAAUAAACUUCUACAUUAGCUUGGGUAGCUAUGACAUAUGGUUAGAUGUCACUCAUAGCUUGUGAGUUCUUCUUCUAGAUGAUUAAAUGUAGUCGUCAAAGAAGAAAGGUGAAUUAAAAUGAAGUUUUAAUUCACUAAGUGAUUGAAUUAAAUAUAAGCAAUUGGAUUAAUGCCAAUCACCUCACUGCCUUGCUAAUUAGAACCUAAAAGAUUGUUCACCAAUACACUAUUGUAGUGAGUAACUAAUGGAUGAUGGAAAACAAUUAAUUGGAUUAAUUAAUGUGUUGUGAUUAAUUUAGAAAAGUCUAAAGAAAUCAUAAAAGCGAUAAAGAUCGUUUUGGGCUUAAAGAAACGUUCGGGUUUAAUUGGGCCCAUUGGGCCUAAACCCAUUGGGCUUUUAUUCAAGCAUUGGAUGACUUGAAAUAAAAAAAGCCCAAAGCCCAAAAACAACACAAAGGGGCCGGCCACUUUAGGUAAGGAAAAGGUGAGAUAUUUAGUCAAGUUGUUGACUAGGUUUCUUUUGUCUAUAUAAGGAACUUUAUAGAGAUAAAGUUCAUUAGGGUUUUUUUUGUGGUUUUGAACAACAAAAGAGGCAAAAGAAAAUAGCUCUCUUGAAACCACAAAAAGGCCGGCCACCAAAGGGGGUUUUUUACUAACAUCUCUUCACCCUUUUGGUUAUUCCUUCAUCCUUCUCACUACACUAGUGGGUGAGGAUCUUUAGAGGUUUCCUACUUUGGGAACUUGAAGAGAACCUAGGAGCACUCAUUAUAACAAAGUGGAGGAGGCAAGGAGGGAAGCUAGGCUCAAGGAUUUCAAGGAGCAAAGGGCUUGGAGGUGGUCCAUCCUUGGUCUCAAGUCUAGAUCAAGAGGUAUAAGACUAAACCUUCACUUUUGUUCUUGAUUCUAAAAUUUGUUUUGAUGCAUUAUAUAUAAACCUAUGAACCUUGAAGGGGAUUUGGAUGACUAUAGCUUUGAUAAUAUGUUAUAAAUGCUUCCGCUGCUUUCGUAUAUUAAAUUUUGAUUUGUAUAUGCAUGAUAGUCAUUAUGAAAUCCCAUGCUAGAAUCUCAUAAUUUCCCUUCAAGUGGUAUCAGAGCCAAUGGUUUAUGUAUAAUGUGUCCUUUUGGAUUUUAUGCAUAUGGGUAUUAAUGUUAUGUAUGACAUAUUAUUGUUUCAUUCAAAGUAUGUUUAUCUUUUGUUUUUCAAUAGUUGAAAAAUGUUAGUCAAAAGUUGAGAAAGAUAUGUUUGCAAAAGUGUUUUGUAUGCAUGAAUGAAAAAUGAGUUUAGAACUAGUAUGACAUAUUAUUUCUUCAUUUAAAAGUAUGUUUGUCUUUUGUUUUUCAAUGGUUGAAAAAUGUAAAUCAAGAGUUGAAAAAGAUAUGGAUGUAAAAGUUGUUUUGUAUGCAUGAAUGAAGAAUAAGUCAUGAACAAAAUUUGGGGUUUUGUUCAAAAGGGUAGGCACGGUUUUGGGGGGUGGUUUUUGGGUUGUGUUUGUGUUUUAUUGUAAACCACUCACACAUCCUAUUAAAGCUUAAAAGAAGUGUUCUUGUCACUUUUGUUUUUGGGUUUGAAAAAACACCUAGAAUACACAAAUCUUGGAAAAGUGUUCAUGGUUUUGUUCUUGGUGUUCAUAGUUUGGUUUUGGGUGAAAAUGGUUUUAUUUGGUUUUCAUGUAUGGUCUUAUGGUUUUGGAUGAUGUUCUUACCAUCCAUAACCAUAUUAAAACUUAUUAAAACCCUAGACUUGUCUAGGAGAUUUCCAUCAAUUUUUCAUUAAAGCCAUUUAAUGCCAAAACCAAGUGACAAGCAAAAUUGUGAUUUUUUCUACUUUGCAUUAAAUUGUUGCAUGUGGGUGAGACUUCCCACCCUCCCAUUGAAUGGCCGGCCUCCCUAGUGGAUUUAUCCACUUGUGGGGCUAUUUUGUAAUCUUUGAAAAGUUGAUAUUUAUUUUGAAAUAUUUACGGUUUUACCCCUAACUUUUUCAUAUUUACAUUUAGGCCCCUACUAACUAGAAAGUUAAAAUAUUUGAUUUUAAUUUUGUUAGUUGUUUAAACUCAUAAUACUAUUAUGCCCAUAUGCACUAAAUCUAAAUGUUUAUGUUGCAUUCCAUCAUGAUUAUUUAAAUGUGUUUAAGUAGUUAUGAAAUGGAUGACUUUGGACUUAUGCCUUAAACGAUAAUUGAGCUAUAUGAUAAGGCGCUAAAAUCAAAUUGUUUGAACCUUGGGAAUGUGUUUUAAUUACUGUUUAAUUGGACCUUGUCACGUUUGACGUUAAUCUUUCUCUCCCUUUUUUUAGUAUAUGUAAUUUAUAGGAAUUUGUACAAAUCGGUUUGUAAUUCUUAUUACUUCUUAAUCUCUAUUCGUUAGUGGAUUCCCUCUAGUGCUAGACUAGAGUUUCUUUAACUAUUGGUAAGGAGACAUAACUAAAAGAGGGUUUUGACAUGAGAUUAAAAAUUAAAAGGGUCCAAUGCCCAAAUUAGCAAUGAAUGAUUGUCUUUCAUUUCUAAUGGCUCAAUGAAAAUGGUUUUAAUUGGAUUGAUAAGCACGUAAUUAAAUUGACACAACCUCCCCGAGUUUAUAUUCAACAAUGAUGGCUCGUUGUUGCAAUACCCUAAUAAGUCCAUAGUCAUCCAAGAGCCUAAGAUAACUAUAAAGUCCAAUUUCAAAGGAAUGCAAAAACCUUAGUAGUAGUAGUUACUUCCAAUAUUUGAAAAAUUCGUUUUUGAUAUUGAUUUGUUUUCUUCAAAACAAAUAGUGGGAGUAUCAUACGCUACUAAGACUAUAAUGAAUACAAUUAGUAGUUAUAUAUAUCUCCAAUAUUUUGAAAAAUGUUUUGAUAUUGAUUUGUUUUAUGAAAACGAAUAGUGGGGAUAUUAUAUGCUACUAAUUUCAUUAACUUUGGACUAGUAGUUAUAAUAGGACAUUAUUUAUUUGAUUGUGAUUAAAUAAAUAAAAUUGAUGAGACCUUAAAAUCCCUCAACCAAACAAAUAUUAAGUUGAAAGCGUAAGAGUGCUUUAGAACACUUUUUCGUGGCCUUCCACCGUGGUAGGCUCCAAGCGUUUAUGACUUGUACACCGCCUUCACCCUAUCAUGGGGAAGUGACAAAGUGCAUGCUUAUAUUCAGGAGGAGUUUAUUUAAAACAUUUGAUGAGGUUAAGGUAGGCAACGAGUAUGGCCAACAUCGUAUCAUCGUGAGGUCAUGCUUGAACCCCUAGCUAAACCGGCAUGGUGGGAAAGAACUUAACUAAGAAACAUAAUGCCAACAUCGUAUCAUCGUGAGGUAUUAUUUUCUAGAGGCCAAAAAGAUGGGUAAUCACAAGAGGUUGUUUGUGAAUGGGUAAUUGUACCCUCUCAUUAUUAUUGUUUGCCUAGCCAAACAUCGUAUCAUCGUGAGGUGGGCUUGGUAAUAGUGAGCCUCCCAUAACCCGCUAGGAGCUUUCUUUGAAAUCUCCCGGAUUCCAUUAUGGGGGAUAUGGAAUUUGCCAAAAAUGGUGGGUGGUGUCAUUCGGUUUAAAGACCCGAAUCGUUUGACUUAAACAACAAUCAAUCUAAUUAUUUUAUUUGUUUAUGUAUAUAGAUAUGGUUGGAAGCACACUCGCGAAAAUACUCGACAAACAUUGCCUAGAGGGGCAAAAUUUCCCAUCAUGGUAUCGUAAUGUCAAGAUUCUCCUAACCUUGGAGAAGAUUGUUUACGUACUAGACAAAGCUCCACCUCACAUACCUCUUGGCCCUGACGCCACUGAGGAUGAACGUGCUAAGUAUGACAAGCACGUUGAGGAUGAUACACAAGCCAAGUGCUAUCUGUUGGCUUCCAUGAAUGAGGAGCUACAGAGACAGCACGAGGGCAUGGACAGUGCAUCUUCCAUAAUACUCCAUCUUACGGAGUUAUAUGGUGAAGGGAACGCGCAACCGUCGCUUUAGCACUGUCUGUGAACUUGUGAAGACCAAAAAUGGUCAAGGGGGCUCCAGUGCAUCAACAUGUACUGAAGAUGAUAGGAUUCAUUGAACAAUUGGAGAACCUUGGUACUCCACUUGACGGGGAAUUGGCCCAGGACUUCAUAUUGGCUUCUCUUUCUGAUUCAUUCUCGCAGUUCGUAAUGAACUACAACAUGAAUAAGAUGGAUAGUACUCUCUCCGAGUUACUAAAUAUGUUAGUAACUGCCGAGAAGACUAUGAAGAAAGAGAACGUUGUAGGGACUGCUGCAGUAGCCUACAAUAAGCCAUCCAUCUUCCAAGGCCAAGCCGCAAGGCAAAAGGCAAAGGGAAGGAGAAGAAGUCCCCCACUCCUAAGCCGAAAGGAGGAGUGAGGAAAAAGAAGGCAAAGGAGCCCAAAGGGACUUGCCACCACUGUGGAAAGGAGGGGGCAUUGGAGGAGGAAUUGCAGGUUAUACCUUGCAAGUCUUAAGGACAAGCCACAAGGUAUGGUUUAUGUUCUUAUCUUCAAUUCUAAAUGUUAGAUCUUCUAAAUAUAUAUAUUUGAUAUAAAGAGCUAAUCACUUGUAUAAUUGUAUAUAGGUGGAGAAGCCAAGUAGAAGAGGAACAAGCAAGGAAAAGUGUGGAGAAGAGUUCGGCCACCAUGUUUUUUGCUUACUACUUAGGAAGUUUGUUAGGCAUUUAAAGAUUGUCUUUAAACUUUCUUAUUUUGUUAAGAACUAAUUAUAUGGCUUCAUUUGAUGGAAGGCCACUAUUAGUGCCUAAAUGUAUAAAGGCAUUUAUAUUAGUCUCUAAAUGUAUAGAGCUAAUACCUUUUGUAUUAAACAUUAUGAAUGUUUGAACUAUCAUAUUAAUGUAAUGUGAUGUAUGCCCUUUUAAUAAAUACUAUUUCCUUAAAGUAGUGUUAUGAAUUGAAAAUUGUCUUGUUGUAUCCUAGAUGAGAUACAAGAGUUAUAUCACUUAAUUGUAAUGUGAUAAACCAAACUUUAGAUUUAUCAAUUAUGGAUAGAUCUCACAUGUAGGACAUAAAAGGAUACAAUGAAUCUUUAGAUUUGGUUCCAUUUGUCUACUUAUGAGUUCUAUAUGAAUUGACAAAAGUCUAGAGAUUCCUUUCUUGAAGAAAAGGAAGAUCACAUUAUAAUGAUAUAAAUAAUAAGAAAAAUUGUUUCUUAUAUGGUUAUCACAUGAAACACAAUGAUCAAGAUCACUUUUUGAUUCAAUUAGUAGUUUUGAACAAUUAAUUGGGCAUUCUUAAAAUUGUUUUAAAAUGUCAAUUGUGUUAGUGACUAAACCAAGAAAGAAGUGUUCUAAAUCUAUAAAAGGUUUAAAGACUUUAGUCACUUAAAUAACAAGACAUUAAACUUAGUGAAGAUUGAAAACAAAUAAGCUUGAAAUGUUUCAAAAGCUACUACACAAUGUCUUCUACCAAUAUAAUCCACUUUUAUACAUUUUGAAUGUAUGAAAUAAUUUCUCAUUAAAGUCAUGAGAAAUAGUUGGGAGGUAUGAAAAUGGAUAUAAACUUGAAUGUGAUUGGUUUAUAGUUGUCUAAAGAAUAAUAGUACUUGACUAUUAUUAAGAGUUUUGUAAUUUUAAGUGUUAAAAGGACUCAAGCUCUUUAAAAUGUUAAAAUUCUAUGUUGUGUAACAUUUUAAAGAAUAGUCUUUGAAUGUUGGUUUCGUCAACCUAGCAUAAAAUGUUUAUAUGUUGGGAGUUGUCAUCAUUCUCUUUUAUGAGAACAUGCUAAAUAACAAAGCAUAUGGACAAUUUGAUGAAACAAAAGGGAAUAAGUUUCAAAAAUGAGUCACAACAUAUGGUUUAACAACAAGACAAUCCAAAUUCAACAUUUCAUGUAACGAUAUUGCUCUAUGUAGUUUUUGAUAGAGAAUUAUAUCAACCACCUAGAAGGAAUGGUUGAGAAUCUAUAUCCUUAGUAAGGAGCCAAGCUUCACUAAAGACUNAUGAGAAGAAGAAACAGAAAACAGAAAAGAAAAAGAGACUGGGCAGAAAUGCCCAAUCGGAGAAGAAGAAGGUGAGAGCAAACCAGAAGAAGGGAGAGGAAGAAGCUGACCAAUCAGGGGAAGGAAAGGAGGGAAAGGAGGAGAGUGGUGCGCGGGGGAACAGGAAGAAUGGGUCACCCUUGACCCGCGCGACCCAAGCUUCCAAAUCGGCGGUUUUCGCCAUUUCCGUCCAAAUUUCCGACGAAAUUGAGUCAAGGUACCACUACUAAUCAUCUCUAGCUUCCCUCUUUACGUUUCACCCCAAGAAUCAUUGAAUUUCGUUGUGAUUUCGCGAAGAAACCCCUACGGGUGCCGCGACCCUUUUGUUUAAUUCUCCAAAUUUUGAAAUGUUUUCUUUCAAUUACUAACACCUUUAGCAUUCUUUAGGACCUAGAACAAAGCCCAAGAGGUAAUUGAGGCGUUGGAACAAGUUUGAAGGUCGAAAUGGAAACACCCAAAUUCUAGGGUUCUCACGGUUUGGUGAAAUUGAAGCACUUCCAGGCCAAAUUGGCCUUGGCCUCAGGUAUGAAAGUUGUUCUACUCAUUGAGAUCUUCAAAUCUGCAAAUUUUGGUAAUUUUUGGAAAUAGUUGAAUUUUCCGGCGAGCCGGGGGCGGCCAACCGCCACCCGCGGCGGCCCGCGCGGCGGCGCGUGGCCAAUGGCCCGCCAAUGUCAUUAUUAGCUUGUUGAUUAAGGUUCUAGGUUCUGUUUUUUAUAAUUGUUGGACGUAAAUUGAAUAAUUGAACCUAAGUUGGUUACGAUUCGUGGUUAGGUGAAAAUGUGAAUUGACGAUCCGACCGUUGGAUCGUCAAUCAAACUUUGAUACGUUGUAAUACGUAAUAUUUGAGGAUUAUAGGAACUUACGGAUUGGGAAUCCGAUUUACGGAUCUUCUGGAAUUGAAGUUGUAAGUUCAUAAAUAGAAUGUUAACCGUCACUUAGUUUUGGAAAUUGUCGGAGAUCCGACCGUUGGAUGGUAAUGAAAUUUUAGGAAGUUGUCCUAGAGGUAUAUUGUGGACCUCUGGAAGUUUCGGAUUUGAAAUCUGAAUUGCAGAUCAUCCGGAUCGAACUACGUAGUGACGUGUCUUACAUAAGUUAUGUAUUCUAUCGGCAGAAUUUUGAGGUUGGAUUUGAUUGUUGUUCUAGGCGCUAAUCGUCAUGACGCCUUGAUGUACGGUGCUAGGGAGUUGUGGGCGAACUCCAGGUGAGUGGGCAGUUUUGUUUUCGUAUUACCUAUAUACUAUUGAUUUUUCCCAGAAAAUGAAUUUAUAUGAAAAUAUGCUUUAAAAUGCAUGCAUAGAAUUAUUUGAAAAUGUGAAUUGUUAUAUGAAUUACAUGAUUGAGAUAUGAUGCAUACAUGUUGCAUGGUGCUGUGGAGGCACAGGUAAGUCAGGUGAGUUCAUUAUUCAUUUAAUUGAAUUGAUUGAUAUCGAUAUAAUUUGAGCUCAUAACCUGCACCCUAGGUGUUAGUGCUUAUAUUAUUCACCACACCGCACGCUCGCCUUGGAUCCAAGUAGGUGGAUGUCGUACAGACCAUGUGGGGUUCCGACAUGCUAGUCGUUAUAGAUCACUAGGCGUGAUUCCGACUAGUGGGUGAUCUUAGUUAUGCGCGCUGAUGAUAUGAUGAGAGAAGCACUAGAGCGUAUUUUUACACCUUUCAUCGUAUAGACUACCUUACGUAGUUCCGAGUGAUGUGCAGAGUAGGGCCGUAUAGGUCACUGUGGUGACUCCGGCUUAGUGAGAUAUUGAGCUAUUGAAUUAAUCGUAUAGGACCAACUGCAGGGUCUCCGAUUGAUUCCUUAUUUCACCUGAUUUAUAUUUUGAUUUAUGGCAUGGCAUGUUUUUCUUGAAAAGCGUUAAAGAUUUGAGAUUUGAAUUUUGAGAUUAUAUAUGGUUUUAUAUAUACUAUUUUCUGGGAAAGUAUACAGGUUUUACGGUGAGGGGAUAGAAAUAUUUUAAAUGAAAAAUUUUCGAAAAACUUUGUUUUACUGACCCACUCAAUUUUGUUUUGCGCCCCUCCAGGUUCAGGUUAGCAGAACUUUGGUGGCCACGAGGAAUCCAACGGUGUUCUGACAGAAUUCACAAAAGUAGGACUCACCCUCGGGUGUGUUAUCUUAGUAAUUGGAAAUUUUUUUUAAAGCUUCCGAACUGUGUAAAUGGUUACGUCACUCUCACGUGACGGCCAGCACGCCCUCUUUCGGGACGGGGUGUGUCAGUUGGUAUCAGAGCCUAGGUUGCAAUUCUGGACAUCUGGAGAAUUUCCCAGUGUCUUCUGUCAGAACUAUACAGCCUCGUAGCGAGCCACGUAGUUCGGAUAAGCCUAAUUUCCCUGAUAUAGUAGUUUGGGGGGAAACUAUUGCCAUUGUGAUUCAGUCUAUUAUCUAAAGGAACCUUUGAGACUGGUUAUAAGUUAAAUUUGAAUACAGACUUGCCUUGUUUCCAUUCGGAUGUUGUUGCUAAUCCGGUAGAGAUGUUAUGUCGUUUUUGGCUGGAUAAUAAGAAGAAGUGGCGUUCUUUGGCGACCACUAUCCAUUCUACUUUUUACCAAGAGUUUACGAGAUGUUAUUGGGUUUUGAAGACUUUGAGAAUAUGAUCAGCGAGAGUAAAAAGGAAUAAGAAAGGAAUGAGAAUCAGAAUAAGACGAUAAAGUUAAAGAUUCGUCAUAUCAAAGACCUCGGAGGACUCAGAGCUUCAAAAGAAGUGAAGUUAGAACUAAUUCUUCCAGCUGAGGUUUUAGUGCCACUGGUUCGAGGCGAAGUGAUAAAUUACGGGUGAUCCCAGAUCUUAAAGACAAGGUGACUCGAGUAAGGGAAAUGUACCUUUGUGCCAUAGGUAUAAUAUUAGACACUUUGGAUAGUGUGGGAAUCAGUGAAUGUGUGCAUGUGGACGGAUGGGACAUAGAGGUAUGAAUUGUCCCUGGAAUCAGUUGUUACCCAACAGUCUUCCUUAACAUAUCACUUGGAAAAAUUGAUGAGUAAGUCGUACAGGUCACUAUAUGUGACUCCGACUUAUGUGCUAGCAUGGAUGGUCGAGUUGUAGACUCAGUCGUACAAGUCAUUCUAGCUGACUCCGGCUGAUAUAUUUCUUAUUAUGGUCGAUGUUGCCAAAGAAAGUAAUGUUGGAGCACGAUCGAGGCGUAUUUAUGUAUUUCUAAGGAAGAACAAGAUGAUAAUAUUACACCCCUCAGGAAUUGUUACUUACUUAUCGAGACAACAGUGAGUUAUUUGUAUUGCGAGCUGCAGACCGUAAUAUUUAUAACUUAUUUGUUGGAUUCGUUAAGUAAGUAAACAAGUAAGGCACUUUAUGUUGAUUUGGUUUAUUAAGGGUGUCCGGUGAUGGUGAAAAAUGUCAUGUCGGUGAAUUUUAUUCCGUUGGAUAUUGUGGAUUUUGAGGUGAUUUUUGGCACAAAGUGGGUGCAGAAUAAAUGUGCCAAGCUAGAUUGCUAUGGGGAAUCAGUUAAUUUUUGUCGACCUGGAUGACCAGAGGUUACUUUUGGGGGUAAGUAAAGUGGAGUGAGUUAUGCCAUUAUUCCUGUUGAGAGAGCAAAGAAGAUUGUUAUCAAAAGGCUGCCAAGAUAUUGAGUUCAUAUGGUGCUAAAUGAUGUUGAUCCUAAUAGUAUGGAAGAUGUAAAGAUGGUUAGACAUUUUCUUGGUGUAUUCCCAGAUGACUUACCUAGAUUGCCGCCAGGCAGAGAUGUGGGUUUUAUUAUUGAAUUGUUUUUAGGUACAAAUCCUAUGUUAGAGAUUGGUUCAGGUUGAGUUAAAAGUUCCAUUCAACUUAUUAUAUCACAUUGGAAAAGCUCCGGUUUAUUUGUGAGAAAGAAAAUGGACAUUAAGGCUAGGCAUUGAUAUUAGGUAAUUGAAUCGGGUAACGAUUGAGAGCUGUUAUCCAUUGUUAUGUAUUGAUGAUUAUUUGAUCAGCUCUGAGGCGCCUGGGUACUUUCUGAGAUUGACUAGAGGUCUGAAUGAUAUUAGUUGAAGAUUAACAGUGAGGAUGUUCAUAAGACUGAAUCCAGGACUCGUUAUGGUCAUUUCAAGUUGGGAUGCCAUACGGAGUGACGAAUGCACCUGCUACUUUUAUGAGUUUGUUGAAGGAAGUAUUCCAAUGAUAUCUGGACCGGGUUGUUAUUGUUUGCCAUUGACGAGAUUGAUAAGAUUAGAGCAGUGCAUGCUAGAUAUUUAAAGUUGGUGUUGCAAAGAUUGAGGGAACGUUGAUGUAUGCUAAGUUUAACAAAUGCUAAUGUUGGAUAAAUUAAUUAUAUCUACUUAAGGUAUUCAAGUGGAUUCUUAAAAGAGUAGCAACGAUUAAGAAUUUGGAACAAUUGCGAACCGUGACUGAGGUUCAGAGUUUUCUCGGAUUAGCAGGAUAUCAUCGAUAGUUCGUCCAAGAUUUUAAUCACUGCUUGGCUUUGGCGAGAUUGAUGAGAAAAGAGGUUAGGUUUGAGUGGAUGAAAUUGUGAGCAAGGUUUCAGCGGCUGAAGUAUUAUCUCACUCACACGCCUGUUUUAACGCUUCCAGAUUUUAAUGGUAAUUAUGUGGUCUAUAGUGAUACUUUUUUUUAAUGUUCUUGGAUGCGUGUUGAUGCAACAUGGUAGGAUGAUUGUCUAUGCUUCAUGGCCAUUGGGAUCUCAUAAGAUGAAUUACCCUAAUUAUAAUUUGGAAUUGGCGGCUAUCAUUCUUACUUUGAAGUUAUGGAGACAUUAUAUUAUUGGUGAGAAAUGCAAGAUUUUAAUGAAUCAUAAGAGUCUCCAAUAUAUGUGUACGCGGAGAGAUAUUAAUCUUAGGCAACAAAGGUGGAUUGAGUUGCUUAGUGAUUAUGAUCGUGUGACGAGGGUGGUCAAGCUAAUGUUGUGGCUGAUGCAUUUAAUAGGAAGACCCCAGUGAGAAUUAAUGCUUGGUACGCUUGCUAUGUUCAUCUUCUUGUGGAUUUGAAAUCUACUGGAGUAAAGUUGAGUAUCAAAAAUCGAGAAGAAGGCUUACUUGCUAAUUUCCAAGUUGGACCCAUUUGGUAGAUCGUACUCGAUACUCAAGCGUUUGACGAAGAAAUUCAAGAAUUUAUUUAAAGCAAGGAAUAUCGGGAAAAAGAAAGACCUUAGAGUUAGAGAAUCAGAUGGCAAGCUUGUACAAGGGAACAAAGUGUUUAUGCCUAAUGGUGUGGAAUUAAAGAAAGCAAUUUUGACGAUGUACAUUAUUCCACUUCUACAAUGCAUCCCAAAAGUACUAAGAUUUAUCAUACCAUUCGUUCAUGUACUAUUGACGGGUAUGAAAAGAGAAAUGGCGAAGUAUGUUAGUAGGCGUAUUAUCAGUCAUCAGGUUAACGCAGAAAGAAAUAAGUCUUUUGGAAUAAUGUGGUCAUUUCCCAUUCCACGGCGGAAAUGGGAGAAUAUUACUAUGGAUUUCGUGGACAAGCUUCCUCGUAUACAAAAUAGUUAGGUUGGAAUUUGAAUAAUAAUUGAUCGACUGGUGACGUCAGCGUAUGUUACCUCAGUAUGAGAACACCAACCUUUCCAGACAAGCGCAACAUUUAUUUGUUUGUUUUAUGGAAAAAGAGAUUUGGGAUCUGUUAAACUUCUUGGGUAUGUUGGUCCCUUCAGUUUGUUCCCUUGAGUAACGCCAUAAGGCCGUGUAAAGCUAUGUCUUGUGUUUCGAAAUUUUUAGAAUUGGGGACGGAUAGUAUUCAAGGCCCUGAGUUAGUGGAUGAGACUAUUCGGAAUAUUCAAGUAAUUAAGUCUAACCUGGAAGUGGGCCAGGAUCGGCUGAAGAGCUUAGCAGACAAACAUGCCACUGACCGGAUGUAUAUGUAGGUGAUCGAAUGAUUUUGAAAUUAUCACCUUGGAAAAGUAUGAUUCGUUUUAAAAAGAAAAACAAGUAAGUCCUAGAUACGUCAGACCAUCUAUGAUCAUCGAACGAGUCAGUGAAGUUACGUACAGGCUGAGUUGCCUCCAGAGCCGAUGAAAGGGCAUGAUAUGUUUUAUGUUUCGAUACUUCGACAUUAAACCUCAUAUCCUUCACGAGUGAUACCUUCGCAACCUUUGGAAGUCAAUAUGGAUUUGACGUAUGAUGAGGAGCCAGUGCCUAUCUUGUAUUAGAAAGAUGAUGUACUGAGAAAUAAGACUAUGAGUUUGGUGAAAGUUUAUGGAGGAAUCUUUCAGUGGAAGAAGCUACUUAGAAAUCAAAGAAUCGAAUGAGAGAGAUGUGUUUCGGGCUGUUUCAUGGAUAUUGAUGGAUUGUAAAGAUUGUGUAAAUUUCGAGGACGAAAUUUCUGUAAGGUGGGUAGAUUGUGACAGCCCGUCCCUAAUUUUAAGAAUUUUUAAAGUUUUAAUAAAGGAUUUUACAAAAAUGCCCUUCGAGACACGCACAUCAUUCGAGGUUAAUCGUUGUGUCGUGCCAUCUAAGAUUUGUUUUCUUGACAUAUCCUCGUAGUACUCGUCGUUACGGACGUGUGGGCGCAGACGGUUCGUGAUUUGGAGUUAUAUCGAAGAAGUUAUUAACGUUUGAAAUUUGGAAUUUUAAGGAAUUAUAAUUUUAGUAAAAUAUAGAAAUUCUUUUAUGAAAUUGGACGGCCCAGAUUUAUUGAUGAAUGAAAUGGAUGGCUGGGAUGAGAGAAAGGUUUUUGGUGUGUGUAUGUGUAUGAGAAGAAGAAACAGAAAACAGAAAAGAAGAAGAGACUGGGCAGAAAUGCCCAAUCGAGAAGAAGAAGGUGAGAGCAAACCAGAAGAAGGGAGAGGAAGAAGCUGACCAAUCAGGGGAAGGAAAGGAGGGAAAGGAGGGAGAGUGGUGCGCGGGGGAACAGGAAGAAUGGGUCACCCUUGACCCGCGCGACCCAAGCUUCCAAAUCGGCGGGUUUUCGCCAUUUCCGUCCAAAUUUCCGACGAAUUGAGUCAAGGUACCACUACUAAUCAUCAUCUAGGCCUUCCCUCUUUACGUUUCACCCCAAGAAUCAUUGAAUUUCGUUGUGAUUUCGCGAAGAACACCCCUACGGGUGCCGCGACCCUUUUGUUUAAAUUCUCCAAAUUUUGAAAUGUUUUCUUUCAAUUACUAACACCUUUAGCAUUCCUUUAGGACCUAGAACAAAGCCCAAGAGGUAAUUGAGGCGUUGGAACAAGUUUGAAGGUCGAAAUGGAAACACCCAAAUUCUAGGGUUCUUCACGGUUUUGGUGAAAUUGAAGCACUUCCAGGCCAAAUUGGCCUUGGCCUCAGGUAUGAAAGUUGUUCUACUCAUUGAGAUCUUCAAAUCUGAAAAUUUUGGUAAUUUUUGGAAAUAGUUGAAUUUUCCGGCGAGCCGGGGGCGGCCAACCGCCACCCGCGGCGGCCCGCGCGGCGGCGCGUGGCCAAUGGCCCGCCAAUGUCAUUAUUAGCUUGUGAUUAAGGUUCUAGGUUCUGUUUUGAUAAUUGUUGGACGUAAAUUGAAUAAUUGAACCUAAGUUGGUUACGAUUCGUGGUUAGGUGAAAAUGUGAAUUGACGAUCCGACCGUUGGAUCGUCAUCAAACUUUGAUACGUUGUAAUACGUAAUAUUUGAGGAUUAUAGGAACUUACGGAUUGGGAAUCCGAUUUACGGAUCUUCUGGAAUUGAAGUUGUAAGUUCAUAAAAUAGAAUGUUAACCGUCACUUAGUUUUGGAAAUUGUCGGAGAUCCGACCGUUGGAUGGUAAUGAAAUUUUAGGAAGUUGUCCUAGAGGUAUAUUGUGGACCUCUGGAAGUUUUGGAUUUGAAAUCUGAAUUGCAGAUCAUCCGGAUCGAACUACGUAGUGACGUGUCUUACAUAAGUUAUGUAUUCUAUCGGCAGAAUUUCUGAGGUUGGAUUUGAUUGUUGUUCUAGGCGCUAAUCGUCAUGACGCCUUGAUGUACGGUGCUAGGGAGUUGUGGGCGAACUCCAGGUGAGUGGGCAGUUUUGUUUUCGUAUUACCUAUAUACUAUUGAUUUUUCCCAGAAAAUGAAUUUAUAUGAAAAUAUGCUUUAAAAAUGCCAUGCAUAGAAUUAUUUGAAAAUGUGAAUUGUUAUAUGAAUUACAUGAUUGAGAUAUGAUGCAUACAUGUUGCAUGGUGCUGUGGAGGCACAGGUAAGUCAGGUGAGUUCAUUAUUCAUUUAAUUGAAUUGAUUGAUAUCGAUAUAAUUUGAGCUCAUAACCUGCACCCUAGGUGUUAGUGCUUAUAUUAUUCACCACACCGCACGCUCGCCUUGGAUCCAAGUAGGUGGAUGUCGUACAGACCAUGUGAGGGUUCCGACAUGCUAGUCGUAUAGAUCACUAGGCGUGAUUCCGACUAGUGGGUGAUCUUAGUUAUGCGCGCUGAUGAUAUGAUGAGAGAAGCACUAGAGCGUAUUUUUACACCUUUCAUCGUAUAGACUACCUUACGUAGUUCCGAGUGAUGUGCAGAGUAGGGCCGUAUAGGUCACUGUGGUGACUCCGGCUUAGUGAGAUAUUGAGCUAUUGAAUUAAUCGUAUAGGACCAACUGCAGGGUCUCCGAUUGAUUCCUUAUUUCACC
rnacentral:lncRNA from 1 species